rnacentral:lncRNA from 1 species
UACGCAACCAAGUAGCUAGUUUAUUACUAGACACAUUGUCUAUUACACAACCUCUAACUUGUUGUAAUACAAAAAGGAAGUGCUAAUGAAACAAAAAUUGCAACAUCAACAAUUAAUCGGCAAAAAGAUAGUUUCAUUACAUAGUGGCAGAUGCAAGUAUCACAAAUUACUACAAGUUCACCCAAAAUGAGUUUGUCAAAUGAAUAACUCAAAUAUAAAUUACACUAAUAAAACUAAGAAGAGUCCACCCUUCCCCUGAAGAUAUCCACCGUAAAUAUUUCCCUGACCAACUCCAUUCGUAUGUCAUUAAGCUGACCAUCAGCGUAUCAGUUAGGAGGAAGUCAAUGACCGUCACUGCAUAUGUUCCACUAAUUUCACUACAAUAAUCAAAAUCACAAUUAGUUAUUAAAGAAACCAGAAGAAUGAGUAAAACAUAAUGGAUGACACAUUUAAUUUACCUUUGAAGGUUGUGCAAUUGCUAUCAUUGCUGAAGGAGUAUGCUUCUUAGCAAUUGAUUCCUUCCUCACGUUACCAACAUGCAAAUAUGCAAUGUAAUAUUUAAUAAUUUGAAACUUAUGACCAGAAUAAGAAAAAUAAGCCUCAAUUCUAGCAAACAUCUAUGAACAGAAGAGAAUCGACCAUAGGUCGUCAAUUACGACGAAAUUCUAAAAUACAGAGCACAGAGGAGUUCAAAAAGCAAAUAUAACAACCCACGCCAUAUAAAACUUCUCCAUUCACAACACAAUCGAUCAUGAACAUGGACAUGAACGAAUCCCUCUGCAAAACCCCAAAUCACAAAUGUAAGAAAUGAAAAAAAAAAGAAUUUAGUAUUUAUCAAAAUUGACACAUUUUGAGCAACAAUACAGUACUUGUUGGGUCUAUAGAGGCGAUUCCACCCAAAAUCGAAGCUUGAUUCUUGUACCUUCCCACCAGAAACUACCGUGGUCGAGGGGGUUGAGUGAGAGAGAGAUGAAAGAGAAAAUGGCUGAAAAUUAGAAAGAAAGCUACUUUUCCAAACCUAAUAGCUGACCCACAAAUUUUGAAAAUGUUAAAAGGCCAAACACGUUAACCUACUCAUUUAGCUAUUUUCCAACCCAAAGGAAAUUAAAAAGAAAAUAAGAGGUCACUUGACCAAUUUAAGUUUUGAGGAGGUCUCAUUUCCAAUUCCUCACCAGAAAGUUAUCCGUAAAAUAUAUUUGUACUACUU